GAAAUGCGAUAAGUAAUGUGAAUUGCAGAAUUCAGUGAAUCAUCGAAUCUUUGAACGCACAUUGCGCCCACCAGCACUCUGGCGGGCAUGCCUGUCCGAGCGUCAUUUCAACCAUCAAGCCCCCGGGCUUGUGUUGGGGACCUGCGGCUGCCCGCAGGCCCUGAAAACCAGUGGCGGGCUCGCUGUCACACCGAGCGUAGUAGCAAUCACCUCGCUCAGGGCGUGCUGCGGGUUCCGGCCGUUAAACAGCCUUACAAAACCCAAGGUUGACCUCGGAUCAGGUAGGAAGACCCGCUGAACUUAAGC
rnacentral:misc_RNA from 1 species